rnacentral:rRNA from 1 species
AUGAUAUCGGGGCAUUGUCAAGGACAAGACUACAAGAAUCCUACAAACGUGUUGUGUGCUAAAGCCCUGGGUACUUUCAAUAAUCUCCUCUCUGAAGUUAUGUCGCCGCAUAUUUUGUUGAUCAAAUGCGUGGGGAAACGGCUAAAACAUCCGCCAGCUCCUCCUCCACUUGACUGUAUUGACUACGCCCACUACCUAUCGUACUUCUGGGCGAACGACGAGCGCACCCGAGACGCCCUCGGCGUCAAGGACGGCACCGUGGACGAGUGGGUGAGGUGCCAAGAUGGCGGCCUCCCGUACACCAGGGACAUCCUAAGCAGCAUCAAGUAUCACCGGAACGUUACAGCCAACGGCUACCGCGCGCUUGUAUACAGGUCCUGA